AGCGAACGCUGGCGGCAGGCCUAACACAUGCAAGUCGAACGAAGUCUUCGGACUUAGUGGCGGACGGGUGAGUAACACGUGGGAACGUACCUUUUGGUUCGGAACAACUCAGAGAAACUUGAGCUAAUACCGGAUGCGCCCUUAGGGGGAAAGAUUUAUCGCCGAAAGAGCGGCCCGCGUUAGAUUAGCUAGUUGGUGAGGUAAAGGCUCACCAAGGCUACGAUCUAGAGCUGGUCUGAGAGGAUGAUCAGCCACACUGGGACUGAGACACGGCCCAGACUCCUACGGGAGGCAGCAGUGGGGAAUCUUGCGCAAUGGCGAAAGCCUGACGCAGCCAUGCCGCGUGAAUGAUGAAGAUCUUAGGAUUGUAAAAUUCUUUUACCAGGGACGAUAAUGACGGUACCUGGAGAAAAAGCCCCGGCUAACUUCGUGCCAGCCGCCGCAGUAACAC
rnacentral:rRNA from 1 species